CGCAAGGACUCAUACCGUUAGAGCACGGGAAUCAUAAUCCUGGGGUCGGGGGUUCGAUCCCUCCCCCGCUACCA
rnacentral:tRNA from 1 species